AUCGCUUCUCGGCCUUUUGGCUAAGACCAAGUGUAGUAUCUGUUCUUAUCAGUUUAAAUCAGUUGGAAAGUAGUGACUUCCAUAAUAAUCCACAGACUUGGCCCAGACCAGCCAUU
rnacentral:snRNA from 1 species